rnacentral:tRNA from 2 species
GCCCGCCUAGCUCAAUCGGAUAGAGCGUCAGACUCUUACUCUUAGGCAUCUGAAGGCUGCGAGUUCGACCCUCGCGGUGGGCU